CCUACGGGAGGCAGCAGUGGGGGAUAUUGCACAAUGGGGGAAACCCUGAUGCAGCAACGCCGCGUGAGUGAAGAAGUAUUUCGGUAUGUAAAGCUCUAUCAGCAGGGAAGAGAAUGACGGUACCUGACUAAGAAGCCCCGGCUAACUACGUGCCAGCAGCCGCGGUAAUACGUAGGGGGCGAGCGUUAUCCGGAUUUACUGGGUGUAAAGGGAGCGUAGACGGCUGGUCAAGUCUGAAGUGAAAGCCCGGGGCUUAACCCCGGAACGGCUUUGGAAACUGUUUUGCUGGAGUAUGGGAGGGGUAAGCGGAAUUCCUGGUGUAGCGGUGAAAUGCGUAGAUAUCAGGAGGAACACCGGUGGCGAAGGCGGCUUACUGGACCAUAACUGACGUUGAGGCUCGAAAGCGUGGGGAGCGAACAGGAUUAGAUACCCUGGUAGUC
rnacentral:rRNA from 1 species